rnacentral:lncRNA from 1 species
GAAAAAACAGGUUUCCUCCCCGUCGGCUGGGACGGGAGGGCAGUGGGAGCAGCGUGGAGGUGAGACUCCUGGGGAGACCCGGCAGGCCGGUCCUAGUGAACGUGCGGGGCUUGCUUCGCUCUCAGGUGGAGUUGGUGCCUGCACGACAUACACCUUACACAGGAUUUAUGUUCUCUUGGGGAAUCAUUUUGAUAGCGCCUAUUUCUGACUUGUUCUCAUGGGUAACUCAGUAUAUUUACUAAAAUGUCAGCUUUUGGACACCAGUCCUGUUUGCACAUUUGAGCUGUCUCAUGAAAUUUAAUCCCUUUUCUGAUUAAACCCCAGUUUGUGUUUUGAAUAAGGUUGACUUUUACUUUCUGGAUGUAAAGUAAAAUUUUGCCUGUAGUGGCAAAGAUUCCAUUUCUCCUGCCUUCCUGGGCAAAGCCAUUCAUCUUAAUCCUCGGUGGAAUGCUAAUGCAAAGUGCUAGGUUCAGGUUGCCAGUUUGAACACUGAUCAUAAGUUACUCCUGAUUCACCACUCAUCAUCUCUGAUGAUUUUAUGAGUUAGAUGCUGGUAAGCACAUUAAUAAUAAGUCGUUAAGUGUUCAUUCAUAGGCUUAUUAGCAUGUAAAAUGUUAUUUUGGUACUUAGUUGUUUUGUGUUUUUUUUUUUUUGUUUGAAUGUAACUAUUUGUAAUUGUUUUUUCAGAGAUUUCCCAAGUCUGGUUGAUAAAAGAAAUUUAUUUUUCAGUUUAGUAAUAGCUAAUUCAGUUUACAUUUUGGGAUUUUAAGUUCAGUUGGCAUUUAAAAAUCCUGAAUCAGAAAUGGCUUAGAGUUCAUGGAUUUCAUUAAAUUCUAUUUUUAAACACUCGAUUGAAACCUCUAUUUUCUUAGAUACAUGAGUAAUUAUUGAAAUAAAACUGGACUGUUAUUCACCUAGUUAUUCCAUGGGUGAAAAGUUGCUGUCCAUACGUGUUGAAGCAAAGCAGGGGUUGAAGGACAUUUUUUGAAAAUGACUAUUUCAUUUAGUAUAAUAUGAAAUAAUUUCUCCCUCCCACUCGUAAAAUACAUAUAUAAUAUUUUUAGAAAUGAUUCUCCAGGGUUGUGUCAGAAAGCCUUUCGUAAUGAAACAAGUUGUUUUUCUCAAACGUCUGUGUUAUUUGUCUUAGCCGUUACGUUGUCCAGUACCUAGUUCACACUUUGCUUUUUGUUUUCUGGAGAACCUUUGCGUGCUGUUAAGUUUGUUGUGGUCUGGGAAAUUUAAGCUUUACUUUUAGCACGUAUCUUUAAUUGUGAUGUGGGUUUAAACUCAAGUUAAUUCUCUAAACCAAUAUAUCAAGGCCAGCGGUUUCAAUUUCUAGCUACACUUUUUUGUCUGAAAUUUUUUAAUGUUUGAAAAAAUGAGUUUUUACCUAUUUGUCACAAAUCAUUUUCCUUAGUUUUUUAAAGGGAUUUAAGUGUUAUACUGGCCUUUAUUAUAUUUGAUAAAUGUUGAACACAUUUACUGCAGAAUUCAGUUUGUAAGAAUACAAUUUAAGCAUUAUAUAUUUGGAUAAUCUUUUUUAUGUAUGUACAUAAGUAUAGCUGUGGGUGGUUUUCUUUUGAUUGCUUUUUUGGGGGGUACAGUGAUCAGUAUCUAUUAUCAACUCAUAUCAGUCAUUUGUGGUUGGUGGUUUCAGGCAGCCUUGAUAACCACUGAUCUGUGGUUUCUGUGCUUAGGGAGAUAAUAAACUUGGCUUUUUGGGUUACAUCCACUUUUAGUGAAAAUUAGAAUAUGGUUUAAAAUCCCCUUGGUCACGUUUGCUUCGUAUUCACCUUUGUGUGUAGAAAAGACAGGGCUUCCAAAGUAAGAGGAAGUUCUAUUUUAUCCUUGUGUGUUUGUCAGCCCAGGAAGUUCUGUUUUAUCAUUGUAUGUUUUUCAGCCCCUUCCUCAUUUUGGAUCCUAGAUCCCUUGGAAUUGAAAACGAGAGUUGAUAUUCUUAAAGUUGAUAUUUUGUCACCAGGAGAUUGAUGUUAAGCUGAAUUAAUAUCUUGACAACUGUGGAAAACUAUAGCCUAUAAUACACGACAUGCAUCCAAGAGCAUUUUAGUCCUGCCUGUCCUUUUUUUUUUUUUUUUUUUUUAACUCUUUAUUUCUUUUAGGGAUUUCUAAUUCUUUAUUAUGGCAGAAUGCUUGUCGUUAAUCUCGUUGCCUCCUCUGAAAAGAGCGUGUCUGGUCACCCCCAGGUCUCUUGUUGUUUUCUGGUCUUCUGUUGUUUAACUUCCUCCACUUGUGGUCAUUGGUUUGUCUCUCCCACCCUGAUCACGUGAAGGCGAGAGCCUCGAGUUUUAUCGUUUUAUGUCUAUCAUGGGGUGCAUGCUCAAUAAAUAUUUUGUGCAAAGGAUAACUGAGCGUGGCUUUCUUGGGGUACAGUUUUAUUCCUGGCAAAACGGGCUCCAUGCUUUUUAAAAACUCAGUGGAAUUAUCUACUAGGCUAUUAAAGACUUAUGUUUUCAUGUCUUAUUCUUUUGCAUCAAGUUUACACCUGAAUGCAAAAACCUUGCUAGGUAGUUGACUAAGUCACUUUAUGAGACAUUUCUUAAAGUCAUUUGUUUUGUUUAUUUCUUGUUGAAUUCAUUGCCUUCUUCUUUUGCAUUGAUGGGAAAAAAUCUGUGUGGACACCCAUAUAUUCUUUAUUAGCGGUAAAUAUGCUGUAUUUCACUACUGCACUUAAUCUUGAGGAAUGAAGCGGUGACUCAUGUUACCCAGAGGUGUGCGUGAAAAAUAACUGGUGGCUUGUCGGCAGAGGUGGAGUAGGACGUCCUGGGUGAGGCGGGCGUCAUUGCACGGCUUAGAGCCAAGUCUGUGUGUGGCUGCUGCUUAGGUUGUAACUGGGCCUUAGCCGGCAGCCUAACUCUGUCUGAAACUCUUUUGAAAGCAGCAGCUGUAUGAUCGCGCUUUAGAAGAUCUUUUUGCUGGUGACUUGUGUGAUGAGAUAGGCGAUUGCCAGUGACGUGUUUUUAGUAUUUAUAGGUGUUUCUGUUUCUUAUAGCCUUGAAAAAAAAUGGGUUUUCUUUUCCUGGGCGCCGUGGCGAAGGUUUCUCUCUGUGUGGGUGUGUGCUUGGGAGUGUGAAGCAAAGGCCCUGUCCUGCGCUGCUACCUUCAGAUGGAACCGCCUCUGCGCGAGCUUCAGCUGGCUCUCCUGUCUGCUCUGCUCCGCGUGGGCUUACUGGGCGCCAGUGGCGCAGCGCCAGGCCUUUCCAGGGCUCUCUUACUUUGACCAGUAAGUGGAAGGAGUGGUUCUUUCAUGUUCUUGAGAAAAAUCUGAUUGACAAAGGAUCAUGAUUAGGUACCACACUGGUGGGGUGCCUAAGAGAAAAGGGUUUAGGGAUGUGUCUUUAAGGACUUAAUUGAACAGGUAAAUUGUGUAAAGCGGCUGGUUAUUAUUCUGGUGGCGCAGGUGAAUUUGUUUAUAAACAGUUCUGUGAGACGUGAACUUGGCUGUGAUGUCCAAGUGCUACUACAUCAUACGGCAGUUGUUUUGAUACGAGCCUGCUGUCUUUUAGUCUGCAUAACAUGGAUGUGUGAGUAAUAUUUAUGGCGCAUAAAACGAAACUGACCUCUCUUAAUCGAAAACUAUUUUCAGGGGCGGUAGCGUCUGUUGAUUUUUGUCCAGAGUUCUGCCGUUCGUUUUCUGGCUGUUUGUAUUUAGGACAUAGCUGCCUUGAAGACGCCUAGGGCAGUGAUCAAACACAUUUGCAUUUGUAAGUAGCUACUGGGCAGUGUGGCAAAUCCCGCAGACCCCUUUCCCAGGUCUGGACCUGUCCUGGUGUGUUGGUGGAUACCGACAGGCUGGCAGGCCUGCCCAUUCACUGGUGGCUUCCAGUCGGUGGGGUUGACAGUAGGUGCGGGCCUGUCAGCGGUGGGCAUCUUCGUGCGACAGCAGAAGGGUUUCCUCCACAGCUGCAGUCACAGAUGGGGUCUGGAUAGAGCAGGCUGAGCUGGGGGGCGCGUGGGAAUUGGCUUGUCCGUCCCGGGUCAUCUGGGCGAGGUUUUGUCCUGGCAGUCGGAAGAAUAGGAAACCCCGCUCACCGUCUUGGCGCGCGAUGGGCCGCAGCCGUGCCGCCGUGUAAUUGAGACAGCGAGGGGCUUCACGAGGGUGAAGUGAGCACACGUGGCAGUGGUUCCCGUGUGAAAGCCAGCCGAGUGUUGCCCCGGUAAGCUGGUUCCAAAAGGUAAGGAUAGUACGAGUUUCAUGCUUGCAGUUGUAUAUCGUGAGUCAUGAAUGACGUUGCGUGGAGGACCUGAGAUUGAGUGGUUGACCAGAGCUGGGAUACAGCCACGUUUCUCAGUUUUUACUCAAAAGAUUUAAUGUUAAGGAAAAUUAAGUUGUGUGGCUU